CCUACGGGGGACAUCAGUGGGGAAUAUUGGUCAAUGGGCGCACGCCUGACCCAGCAACGCCGCGUGAAGGAAGAAGGCUUUCGGGUUGUAAACUUUUUUUCUCAGGGACGAAGAAAGUGACGGUACCUGAGGAAUAAGCCACGGCUAACUACGGGCCAGCAGCCGCGGUAAUACGUAGGUGGCAAGCGUUAUCCGGAUUUACUGGGUGUAAAGGGCGUGUAGGCGGGACGGCAAGUCAGAUGUGAAAACCACGGGCUCAACCUGGGGCCUGUAUUGGAAAAUGGAGUUCUUGAGUACUGGGGAGGCAGACGGAAUUCCUAGUGUAGCGGUGAAAUGCGUAGAUAUUAGGAGGAACACCAGUGGCGAAGGCGGUCUGCUGGACAGCAACUGACGCUGAGGCGCGAAAGCGUGGGGAGCAAACAGGAUUAGAUACCCGUGUAGUC
rnacentral:rRNA from 1 species